UUCGCAAUGCCCGAAAGGGUGACGAAGCGACGCCGCGUGUGGGAAGAAGGCCUUCGGGUUGUAAACCACUGUCGGGAGUUAAGAAAUUAAGGAUAGGAAUAGUAUCCUUGCUUGACUAAGGCUCCGGAGGAAGCCACGGCUAACUCUGUGCCAGCAGCCGCGGUAAUACAGAGGCGGCAAGCGUUGUUCGGAAUUAUUGGGCGUAAAGAGCACGUAGGCGGCUGUGUAAGUCGGUUGUGAAAGCCUUCCGCUCAACGGAAGAACAGCAGCCGAUACUGCAUGGCUUGAGUGCGGGAGGGGAGAGUGGAACUUCUGGUGGAGCGGUGAAAUGCGUAGAUAUCAGAAGGAACGCCGGCGGCGAAAGCGACUCUCUGGACCGUAACUGACGCUGAGUGUGCGAAAGCUAGGGGAGCAAACGGGAUUAGAUACCCCGGUAGUCCUAGCCGUAAACGAUGGGCACUAAGUAGAG
rnacentral:rRNA from 1 species